rnacentral:siRNA from 1 species
AGCUACCUGAUGUAUAUGGAUUG